rnacentral:rRNA from 1 species
UACGUAGGGUGCAAGCGUUGUCCGGAAUCAUUGGGCGUAAAGAGCGUGUAGGCGGCUCGGUAAGUCCGCUGUGAAAGUCCAGGGCUCAACCCUGGAAUGCCGGUGGAAACUGUCGAGCUAGAGUCCGGAAGAGGCGAGUGGAAUUCCAGGUGUAGCGGUGAAAUGCGUAGAUAUCUGGAGGAACACCGGUGGCGAAGGCGGCAUCCUGGACCAACACUGACGCUGAGGCGCGAAAGCUAGGGGAGCGAACAGG